UACUUAGGCAUUGGUGUACUU
ensembl:piRNA 21ur-2180 ncRNA